CGGGAUUUGGGAAAAUAAAGGAGGGAGAUCCCAAAUCCCGCUGGAUCUGGGAUUCCUAAGAGAAAUAAACAAAAUGAAUUGAAUAAAAAUAAUUCAGACCAAAAAAAAAAGGGAAUAAUUUAAAAUAAAUAAAUUAAAAAUAAAUCAAAGAAAUUCAAAAUGGCGGCGACGCCCCCGCCGCCAUCUUGAGGCGCGGCGGUGCCGUAACACAAGAUGGCGGCGCCCAUGGAAACACUUCCCGCUGUUGUUUCUCGCCGCGUUUCAAAGCGAACCGGGACCAAAACGAGCGCGGCGGCUUCGCUGGUAUCGAUUUCACCUCCGGGAUCGAUUUGAGCUCCCGGGAAACGAGCGGGAGGCGAAAAUAAGUGGGGCAAAAGGAGCCGCCAUGUUGUACGUGGUUCCGUCCAACCUCCCCGUGGCGUCACCGCCAUCUUGAGGCGCGGCGCCGCCGUUCAACAAGAUGGCGGCACCGCGGCACCAUCCCCGGUGCUAUUUUGAAGGAUUUUUUAAGGCAAAUCGCAGCCAAACCGGGUGGAACGGAUCCGCCAUAGCUGUUUAACCCUCGACAUUGAUUUAAACCCACCGGGAAGUGGGAGAACGGCGGAAAGGCGGGGUUUUAAUGUGCAUACUGGGCGCCGCCAUGUUGUACGGCAUGAGGAGGCUGAGGCGACUUCCGGUUCCGGUGGGGGAGCGGCUCCUCAGCGGUGGCGGAGCGGGGGCUCCCGCCAUCCCAAACCCCAAAAAAAUUCCCCAAAAAAUUCCCAAAAAAAUAAUUCCCAAAAAAAUGGAUUGAGGCCCCUCCCCCCCCUUGGAUGGCCCCCUGGAAUUUGGGGCGAUCCCAAAAUGGGGGAUUCGGAAAAUCCCGGGAAUGCCCCCAAGGAGGAGGAGGAAGAGGAGGAAGAGGAGGAGGAAGAGCUGGACCCCCGGAUCCAGGAGGAGCUGGAGCACCUGAACGAGGCCAACGCUGAAAUCAACCGGGGCGAGCUGGAGCUGGAUGUGAGAAUCCCAGUUCAGACCAGUCCAUCCCAGUUCAUCCCAGUUCCAUCCCAGUUCCAUCCCAGUUCAUCCCAG